AUUGAACGCUGGCGGCAGGCCUAACACAUGCAAGUCGAACGAGUGGCGGACGGGAGAGUAAUGAAUGGGAAUGUAGCUGAUGGAGGGGGAUAACUAAGGGAAACUGUAGCUAAUAACGCGUACAAUAGGAUGAGCCCAUGUGGGAUUAGGUAGUUGGUGGGGUAAAGGCACACCAAGACGACGAACUCUAGCUGGUCGGAGAGGAUGACCAGCCCCACUGGAACUGGGACACUGCCCAGACUCCUACGGGAGGCAGCAGUGGGGAAUAUUGCGCAAUGGUGGGAACCUGACGCAGCCAGGCCGCGUCUAUGACGGAGGCCUUCGGGUUGUAAAGUUCUUUCUGUGGCGAGGCGUUACCUACAGAAGAAGCACCGGCUAACUCCGUGCCAGCCGCCGCGGUAAUAC
rnacentral:rRNA from 1 species